AACGGCUAUAAAAUUUAGGGGCGAGUAUGAAUAGAGUGGUCCACUACCCCCCCUGUCGAGUAGAAGCGUGACGGAGAAGAGAGAAGAGCAGUCGAGUUUAGUGGAGAAUUGAGGUGCCGGGUUGCCGGAGAAGGAGGCUGACGCCGGUGAGCUUUUCACUUCUCCUCCCUUUGCUAUUUUGAUUUAAUUCCUCAUUCACACCAUGCAUGUGUUUACACAUAGAUUUAGAAAAGGUUUAAAGCUGAGAGAGAGGGAAACUUGAAUGCCGAGAGGAGCUCCGACCCCCCUUUCCAUUUAAAUUCAGGUGAAGGUGCAAGUCGCUAUUAGAAGUCCUUAAAAAUUAAAUUUAACUAGUGGGUUUUUUUUAAUAAGAAAUUUUAUGCAAGAUUCAACCCAAUGGAGACUAUUCAUUUGUUUUUAUUUUUCUUUUAAAUUCUGUUUUUCUUGCUUCAAAUUUAUUUUCUAUUGAUGGAUGAAAACAGAGAGGCGGGGUGAGGGUACGUGUAAGGAAAGGUUAUAAAGCCGAAAAUAAAUAUUUAUAUAUAUGCUUAUAUAUUUAUCUAUCUCUGCAUGUCAGUACAUAUAUAUUAUGUGGGCGCGCAUGUGCUUUAUGUAUAUAUAUGUAUACUUAUUUAUGUAUAUAUGUAUACAUAUAUGCAUGCGUGAGUAUAUGUGUACAUUCUAUAUGUGUGCAUUUUCUGUGUAUAUAUAUAUACUGAGUGUGUGUUGGUUCAUAAAUAUACAUAUAAUCGAUAUAUAUAUAUAGCUAUAUAAGUGUGUGUGCGAUACUGUAUGCAUGAAAAUAUUAUGUAUGCAUACAAAUACCUAUGUACAUAAAUAUAGUAAAACCCAGAAUAAAAAAUGAGUCGAACUAAAAAAAAUACUCCAAAAUUACUAGUGGGCAGAAAUCAGAGUAUGCAACUUAUGAAAUAAAAUAAAAGAAAAAAAUGUACAUAAUAAUAAUAAUUAAAAAAGGUAUGUUUAAU
rnacentral:lncRNA from 1 species